rnacentral:snRNA from 1 species
GUUCUUGCUUCGGAAGAACAUAUACUAAAUUUGGAACGAUACAAAGUAGAUUAGCAUGGCCCCUGCGCAGGGAUGUUUCCUGACUUGAAAAUAACCAAAAACAC